rnacentral:rRNA from 1 species
AUUGAACGCUGGCGGAAUGCUUUACACAUGCAAGUCGAGCGGCAGCGCGGGGCAACCUGGCGGCGAGCGGCGAACGGGUGAGUAAUACAUCGGAACGUACCCAGUUGUGGGGGAUAGCCCGGCGAAAGCCGGAUUAAUACCGCAUACGACCUGAGGGUGAAAGGGGGGGAUCGCAAGACCUCUCGCAGUUGGAGCGGCCGAUGGCGGAUUAGCUAGUUGGUAGGGUAAAGGCCUACCAAGGCGACGAUCCGUAGCGGGUCUGAGAGGACGACCCGCCACACUGGAACUGAGACACGGUCCAGACUCCGACGGGAGGCAGCAGUGGGGAAUUUUGGACAAUGGGGGCAACCCUGAUCCAGCCAUUCCGCGUGAGUGAAGAAGGCCUUCGGGUUGUAAAGCUCUUUCGGCAGGAACGAAACGGUCCUUUCUAAUACAAGGGGCUAAUGACGGUACCUGAAGAAGAAGCACCGGCUAACUACGUGCCAGCAGCCGCAGUAACAC